CACGUAGGGGGCGAGCGUUGUCCGGAUUUAUUGGGCGUAAAGAGCGUGUAGGCGGCCAUGUAGGUCCGUUGUGAAAACUCGAGGCUCAACCUCGAGACGCCGAUGGAAACCAUGUGGCUAGAGUCCGGAAGAGGAGAGUGGAAUUCCUGGUGUAGCGGUGAAAUGCGCAGAUAUCAGGAGGAACACCGGUGGCGAAAGCGGCUCACUGGACCAUAACUGACGCUGAGGUGCGAAAGCUAGGGUAGCAAACGGG
rnacentral:rRNA from 1 species